rnacentral:tRNA from 1 species
GCUGGUUUGUCCGAGAGGUUAAGGGGGGAAAACUUAAAGAUCUUUGCACAUAAGUGCGCAUGUGUUCGAGCCCCAUAGCCGCCA